rnacentral:rRNA from 1 species
AUACGGAGGGUGCGAGCGUUAAUCGGAAUUACUGGGCGUAAAGCGUACGUAGGCGGUUGGUUAAGUUAGAUGUGAAAGCCCCGGGCUUAACCUGGGAACUGCAUUUAAAACUGGCGAACUAGAGUUGAGUAGAGGGGAGUGGAAUUUCAGGUGUAGCGGUGAAAUGCGUAGAGAUCAGAAGGAACACCAGUGGCGAAGGCGACUCCCUGGACUCGAACUGACGCUGAGGUACGAAAGCGUGGGUAGCAAACGGGACUAGAUACCCUAGUAGUCC